rnacentral:rRNA from 1 species
UACGGAGGGUGCAAGCGUUAUCCGGAUUCACUGGGUUUAAAGGGUGUGUAGGCGGGCUGUUAAGUCAGUGGUGAAAUCUCCCGGGCUCAACCCGGAAACUGCCAUUGAUACUAUCAGUCUUGAAUUCUGUUGAGGUGGGCGGAAUAUGUCAUGUAGCGGUGAAAUGCAUAGAUAUGACAUAGAACACCAAUUGCGAAGGCAGCUCACUAAGCAGCGAUGACGCUGAGGCACGAAAGCGUGGGGAUCAAA